GCUAGAGACCAGACCUCUGGUAACGUGGGUCAGGUUGAACCGUUUAGGCUAGAGACCAGACCUCUGGUAACGUGGGUCAUAAUGAACCGUUUAGGCUAGAGACCGGACCUCUGGUAACGUGGGUCAGGUUGAACCGUUUAGGCUAGAGACCGGACCUCUGGUAACGUGGGUCAGGUUGAACCGUUUAGGUUAGAGACCGGACCUCUGGUAACGUGGGUCAGGUUGAACCGUUUAGGCUAGAGACCGGACCUCUGGUAACGUGGGUCAGGUUGAACCGUUUAGGCUAGAGACCGGACCUCUGGUAACGUGGGUCAGGUUGAACCGUUUAGGCUAGAGACCAGACCUCUGGUAACGUGGGUCAGGUUGAACCGUUUAGGCUAGAGACCGGACCUCUGGUAACGUGGGUCAGGUUGAACCGUUUAGGCUAGAGACCGGACCUCUGGUAACGUGGGUCAGGUUGAACCGUUUAGGCUAGAGACCGGACCUCUGGUAACGUGGGUCAGGUUGAACCGUUUAGGCUAGAGACCGGACCUCUGGUAACGUGGGUCAGGUUGAACCGUUUAGGCUAGAGACCGGACCUCUGGUAACGUGGGUCAGGUUGAACCGUUUAGGCUAGAGACCAGACCUCUGGUAACGUGGGUCAGGUUGAACCGUUUAGGCUAGAGACCGGACCUCUGGUAACGUGGGUCAUAAUGAACCGUUUAGGCUAGAGACCAGACCUCUGGUAACGUGGGUCAGGUUGAACCGUUUAGGCUAGAGACCAGACCUCUGGUAACGUGGGUCAUAAUGAACCGUUUAGGCUAGAGACCAGACCUCUGGUAACGUGGGUCAUAAUGAACCGUUUAGGCUAGAGACCGGACCUCUGGUAACGUGGGUCAGGUUGAACCGUUUAGGCUAGAGACCGGACCUCUGGUAACGUGGGUCAGGUUGAACCGUUUAGGCUAGAGACCGGACCUCUGGUAACGUGGGUCAGGUUGAACCGUUUAGGCUAGAGACCGGACCUCUGGUAACGUGGGUCAGGUUGAACCGUUUAGGCUAGAGACCAGACCUCUGGUAACGUGGGUCAGGUUGAACCGUUUAGGCUAGAGACCAGACCUCUGGUAACGUGGGUCAGGUUGAACCGUUUAGGCUAGAGACCGGACCUCUGGUAACGUGGGUCAUAAUGAACCGUUUAGGCUAGAGACCGGACCUCUGGUAACGUGGGUCAGGUUGAACCGUUUAGGCUAGAGACCGGACCUCUGGUAACGUGGGUCAGGUUGAACCGUUUAGGCUAGAGACCGGACCUCUGGUAACGUGGGUCAGGUUGAACCGUUUAGGCUAGAGACCGGACCUCUGGUAACGUGGGUCAGGUUGAACCGUUUAGGCUAGAGACCGGACCUCUGGUAACGUGGGUCAGGUUGAACCGUUUAGGCUAGAGACCGGACCUCUGGUAACGUGGGUCAGGUUGAACCGUUUAGGCUAGAGA